rnacentral:rRNA from 1 species
UGUGAACUCGAAGAGUAGGGCGGGACACGUGGUAUCCUGUCUGAAUAUGGGGGGACCAUCCUCCAAGGCUAAAUACUCCUGACUGACCGAUAGUGAACCAGUACCGUGAGGGAAAGGCGAAAAGAACCCGGCGAGGGGAGUGAAAAGAACCUGAAACCGUGUACGUACAAGCAGUGGGAGCACCUUCGGGUGUGACUGCGUACCUUUGUAUAAUGGUCAGCGACUUAUACUUCUGU